GUUCUAAAUAUUACAAUACUGAGGCGAAAUAAAAUUAAAUACAAACAUCUCUAAAGAUGGACUCAUCAGAGUGCGAAACCAAACAUGCACUUGUAGUAGUUCACGGAUCCACGAGAUCCUUAAAAGAUUUGAGAGGUAGGUCAACGGUCAGUUACUCACUAUCAUCUUUAUUUGAGGGGGGCAUGGAAAGUAAUUUAGACUUGAAUAGGGUGCCAUAAUUACUUACCAUCAGGAAUCGUAUCAGGGGUCCAUUUCAAUAGUUAUGAAAAUAAUGUACUUUAUUAAAAAAAAACCAAAUCA
rnacentral:lncRNA from 1 species